CCUUUCCCAUUCCUUCUCUCUCACAACUCAGAUGUCUCACAAAACUCCAGAUCCUCUCUCUCUCUCUAUCUCUCUCGCUCUACGACUCAAGAACAUCAUGCCAGAUCUCUCAUCAGAUGCCGUUUCAUGACAAGAUCGUUGAAGUGGUUCCGACACCUGAGCUCUGGUGGAGGAGACUAGGGUUUCGGCGAAGAUAAAGCCAUCGGAGGCUGAACCACCGGUGCAGGUAUCAUCUUCAUCAUCUAAACUAUCAUUGUUGGGAACAUGGAUGCCGUUUAUUGUUUACAAUUAGAUCCAUUGGCAGCUAUUGAACCAUCUUUCUUCAAGGUGAGAACAAGUUUAUCCUAUAACUUCUUAUUUUUGUUCCACCAAACAUUCUAUUUUUGUUCCAGCAAACAUUCUUAUACUUGUAAAUUGGAGGUUGAAAACCCAAUUAAUUGAGAUGUACGAUAGAUUACGGGUCGGAGCGGUUGCAGGCGGAAGAUAUCCAGAAGGGAAUGUAUGUAGAUUCCAUGAGAUUGUUGGGGCUGUGGGGUGUGAGAGGCGGAAAGUCUUAUUUGGAGUGACCAGGAAUGAUGCUACGGUGGUGGUAGUCAUGGAAGAGAUCUCCCAACAAGUCUUUUGGCCUGAGGAUCUUCGGAGGCCAUUUGGACACUUUGGUCCUUUAAAGGACAUUUACUUGCCAAGGGAUUAUUAUAGCGGGAAAUAGAGGCUAUAAGGAACAAUUUGAUGCCCUUAAAGAAAAAGUAGUGUUUGGGACAGACAUGGGAACCGAGAGGUUGGGUAUGGAAGCUAUCAAGGCGGAGAUGGAAUCUUGAAUUGGGGUGAAGAUCGACGUUUCAACGAAAUGCGUAGUAAUUUUGGCAAAUUGGCUGUUUUCUGGAUUUUUCAGGCUAUAAGGGUUUGGACUUUGGACAGUAAGUCUACCUGUGACAAUUGUCAAUGCGAGUGACUCAGAUCCCGAUAUUGAAGCACGAGACAUAAUCGGGUGCAUUUUUUGUGUUUUCAGUCCUCGGAUUCCACUGCCUCAGUGGAAGCUUGCCGUCUUGGGUCAAAGCUGCUUUCUAUUUGAGCUUCAAUUGUAUAAUCGAAAUCUUCCUAAAGAAGAAGCAUUGGGCUGGUAGUCCCUGUAAACCACAAAUAUGUUGUUCUCUCAACCAAGAUAGAAAUCCGUCUUGCAAAAGUUGAACCAAUCCACUGGACAUUUCUUGAAUUUAACAAAAACGUUCUGGUUGCGAGAAGCAGCACCGUCGGUUCAGGUAAUCGAAGGCCUGUGCAUUCUUCCUCAAAACCAACAAAAGACUGGGAUCUUUUGAAUCACUAUGUAUCCCCAUGUUCAUGUGCUGAGUGGUGUUGUGGGGUACGCCAGCGAACAUCGUUUUUCCGGUCACAAGAAUGAGACAGCAGUGAAGGGUUCAAUCGUUGUGCGGCGAAGAAAUUGUGAUGGUGUUCAGUGGUGAUAGACAUGUUUGUGGUGGUGUCCGGCUGUAACAGGUUGAGAGCUUACUUGGUGACCAACCGACCAUGGUGGUGGAUUUGAACUAGAAACUACCAAACGAAUGAGAAAUGAGUUUUUGGCAACAUGGGAUGGACUAAGGUGGUAAAAAUAUAGUGAAAGGAUUCUCAUUGUUUCCGGUGACCAGGCUCUUUUCGGAGAAGCAGCAAUUACAAGGCUCGCUUCUGCAUGUUCUGUUGUAGAACGGAUCCAUGAUUUUCCAAGCCCAAGCUUUUUUUGCGCCUUGCGCCUAGGCUCCGGGCGAGGCCGAUGCGCCUCACCUGCGCCUUGCGUCUUUGACAACAUAGACCGACAUGCCUCAGGGCUUUGAGGCUUUGAUGGAAAAGACAGCUCCAAGGAGAAAUUGCAUUAGAUGCAUUCCAUCCUCAGUUGGUGAAUUCGUUAGUUGGAGUGGCUUUGGAGAAGAUGGAAGUUUAUACAACCGUUUAAACCGUUCGGUACACCCGGUUGAACCGUCCGAUACACCUGGUUGAACCGUUUCUUUGCCCGGCCCAGUAUGGAAUAAAAACCAGUUUUUAAAACAUUGGUUUCGACCACUCAGCUGCAGGCAACAACCCCGGUACACUGGUGAAGGCUGUCACGCUCUGUUGUGGUGAUAUCAGACCAGAAGAUUGUGAGGACUUUGUGAAGAAGAGGCGGCCGCGUGGUACACGACUUUUAUGCAAUGACUUGAACUCUGAAUGAUAUUGUAAACAAGUCUGUUGAUAAAAUAAUAAAUCUUGAUUGUUAAUAUUGCAAGAUGGAACGUGGUGUCAUUAAUAAAAGUUUACUUGCUUUAAAGGAAUGUGUUGGAGCUGAUAAUGACCAGGUUCAUAUUCCUUUUAGAGGGCGUAAACUAAUCGGAUUGUCGGUUUAUAAACCAUGUUCGUGUCAAUGUUGUACUUUCCUUGUAAUUAAUGUUUUUAUAUCUGUUUUAAUCUGACAAUUUGUGCUUUAAACUAA